rnacentral:rRNA from 1 species
UACGGAGGGUGCGAGCGUUGUCCGGAAUCAUUGGGCGUAAAGGGCGCGUAGGUGGCCCGGUCAGUUCGUGGUGAAAGCGCGGGGCUCAACCCUGCGUCGGCCAUGAAUACUGCCGCGGCUGGAGCACUGUAGAGGCAGGCGGAAUUCCGGGUGUAGCGGUGGAAUGCGUAGAGAUCCGGAAGAACACCGACGGCGUAGGCAGCGCCCUGGACGACACCUGACGCUGAGGCACGAAAGCUGGGGGAGCGAACAGG